AUUGAACGCUGGCGGCAUGCCUUACACAUGCAAGUCGAACAGCAGCACGGGAGCAAUCCUGGUGGCGAGCGGCGAACGGGUGAGUAAAGUAUCGGAACGUGCCCAGUCGUGGGGGAUAACGUAGCGAAAGUUACGCUAAUACCGCAUACGAUCUAUGGAUGAAAGCGGGGGAUCGCAAGACCUCGCGCGAUUGGAGCGGCCGAUAGCAGAUUAGGUAGUUGGUGGGGUAAAGGCUCACCAAGCCGACGAUCUGUAGCUGGUCUGAGAGGACGACCAGCCACACUGGGACUGAGACACGGCCCAGACUCCUACGGGAGGCAGCAGUGGGGAAUUUUGGACAAUGGGCGAAAGCCUGAUCCAGCCAUGCCGCGUGCAGGAUGAAGGCCUUCGGGUUGUAAACUGCUUUUGUACGGAACGAAAAGGUUUGGCCUAAUAAGCUGAGCUCAUGACGGUACCGUAAGAAUAAGCACCGGCUAACUACGUGCCAGCCGCCGCAGUAA
rnacentral:rRNA from 1 species